GCACGGGUCGUAUAGCGGCUAUUACCACUGCCUGCAGAGCAGUUGAUCGUGGGUUCGAGUCCCACCCCGUGCU
rnacentral:tRNA from 1 species